rnacentral:rRNA from 1 species
GUCGUAACAAGGUUUCCGUAGGUGAACCUGCGGAAGGAUCAUUAUCAAUUUACAGUCCUGAUCAGUGGGCGAAAGCCCAUUGAGCAUGCUGUUCAACCCUUUGUCUUUGCGUACGGUAUGUUUCCUCGGCGGGUUCGCCCGCCGAUAGGACAUUUCAAACCCUUUGUAGUUGCAAUCAGCGUCAGAAAAACUAUAAUAGUUACAACUUUCAACAACGGAUCUCUUGGUUCUGGCAUCGAUGAAGAACGCAGCGAAAUGCGAAAAGUAGUGUGAAUUGCAGAAUUCAGUGAAUCAUCGAAUCUUUGAACGCACAUUGCGCCCCUUGGUAUUCCAUGGGGCAUGCCUGUUCGAGCGUCAUUUGUACCCUCAAGCUCUGCUCUGUCGAAAGACGGAGUACCUUGGUGUUGGGUGUUUGUCCCGCCUUUGCGCGUGGACUCGCCUUAAAGUGAUUGGCAGCCGGAAUGAUUCUGGGGAACGCAGCACAACUGCAGCCUCUAGACUUAUACGCCGAGCGUCCACUAAGCCUUUAUUCUUGCGUUUGACCUCGGAUCAGGUAGGGAUACCCG